UACGUAGGGGGCAAGCGUUGUCCGGAAUCAUUGGGCGUAAAGAGCGUGUAGGCGGCUCGGUAAGUCCGCUGUGAAAGUCCAGGGCUCAACCCUGGAAUGCCGGUGGAAACUGUCGAGCUAGAGUGCGGAAGAGGCGAGUGGAAUUCCUGGUGUAGCGGUGAAAUGCGCAGAUAUCAGGAGGAACACCAAUUGCGAAGGCAGCUCGCUGGGACGUCACUGACGCUGAGACGCGAAAGCGUGGGGAGCAAACAGG
rnacentral:rRNA from 1 species